GACGAACGCUGGCGGCGUGCUUAACACAUGCAAGUCGAACGGAAAGGCCCUGCUUUUGUGGGGUGCUCGAGUGGCGAACGGGUGAGUAACACGUGAGUAACCUGCCCUUGACUUUGGGAUAACUUCAGGAAACUGGGGCUAAUACCGGAUAGGAGCUCCUGCUGCAUGGUGGGGGUUGGAAAGUUUCGGCGGUUGGGGAUGGACUCGCGGCUUAUCAGCUUGUUGGUGGGGUAGUGGCUUACCAAGGCUUUGACGGGUAGCCGGCCUGAGAGGGUGACCGGCAACAUUGGGACUGAGAUACGGCCCAGACGCCUACGGAAGGCAGCAGUGGGGAAGAUUGCACAAUGGGCGGAAGCCUGAUGCAGCAACGCCGCGUGCGGGAUGACGGACUUCGGGUUGUAAACCGCUUUCGCCUGUGACGAAGCGUGAGUGGCGGUAAUGGGUAAAGAAGCACCGGCUAGCUACGUG
rnacentral:rRNA from 1 species